GCGGCAUGCCUAAUACAUGCAAGUCGAGCGGACAGAAGGGAGCUUGCUCCCGGAAGUCAGCGGCGGACGGGUGAGUAACACGUGGGCAACCUGCCCUUUAGAUUGGGAUAACUUCGGGAAACCGAAGCUAAUACCGAAUAAUACAUGGAAUCUCCUGGUUCUAUGUUGAAAGAUGGCCUUUGUGCUAUCACUAAGGGAUGGGCCCGCGGCGCAUUAGCUAGUUGGUAAGGUAACGGCUUACCAAGGCGACGAUGCGUAGCCGACCUGAGAGGGUGAUCGGCCACACUGGGACUGAGACACGGCCCAGACUCCUACGGGAGGCAGCAGUAGGGAAUCUUCCGCAAUGGACGAAAGUCUGACGGAGCAAUGCCGCGUGAGUGAGGAAGGCCUUCGGGUCGUAAAGCUCUGUUGUGAGGGAAGAACAAGUACCGGAGUAACUACCGGUACCGUGACGGUACCUCACCAGAAAGCCACGGCUAACUACGUGCCAGCAGCCGCGGUAAUACGUAGGUGGCAAGCGUUGUCCGGAAUUAUUGGGCGUAAAGCGCGCGCAGGCGGCUUCUUAAGUCUGAUGUGAAAUCUCGGGGCUCAACCCCGAGCGGCCAUUGGAAACUGGGAAGCUUGAGUACAGAAGAGGAGAGUGGAAUUCCACGUGUAGCGGUGAAAUGCGUAGAUAUGUGGAGGAACACCAGUGGCGAAGGCGACUCUCUGGUCUGUAACUGACGCUGAGGCGCGAAAGCGUGGGGAGCAAACAGGAUUAGAUACCCUGGUAGUCCACGCCGUAAACGAUGAGUGCUAGGUGUUAGGGGUUUCGAUGCCCGUAGUGCCGAAGUAAACACAUUAAGCA
rnacentral:rRNA from 2 species